ACGCGUGCCAGUUGCAGAGCUGCGAGCUGUUGGCUGGGGCCUUGGCGCCCUGGCUGAUAAUCCCACGCUGUGUAACCCUGGGCUGAGUGUGCUACACCAAGAAGGGGAGAAGACAGAAUAUUCUAACAGGCUGUGGGCCCCCGCCGCCAUCUGGAUCUCGGUUUCCUCACCUCUGAGGGGUCUUUUCCAGUUCCAAUAUGCAAAUGGUUCAUCACUCGCUGUAGAAUAGAAUCAGAGCUGUGAUAUGCUGUCCACGUGGCCCACAGACUCAGGGAGGGUCUGAAACUCUGCCAGGGCCUACUGUGCUCCUUUCAGAGGAGCACCACCCCACCCAAGGCACCCCAGGGUGUCUCAGGAGGGCGGCCCAGGACCACUCCGAAUGCACUGAAAGCUGACUGUGUUCAGUAGGGGAGAGGGGCCCCUUCUCUAAAUAUUUUCUCUCCAGGUUUGGCUGGAGACAGUCACAGCCGGUCAGGGGGCUCAAAGAGGCGCCAGGCCUGCCAAGAACCACCUGAGGAUGGCGUUUGUGAGGAAAACCCAGGGAGCAGGGCUGGCCCACUCCCAGGCAGCAAAACUGCUCCUCCAGCUCGGCUGUUCCAGUGAGCAAAGGAAUCUGUUUGUCUGAGAAAAAGAAUGUGGCAGAGAGGCGGGAGGCAGCCCCAGGCAGCCCCGGCAGCCUCCUCAGCUUCGGAGCUCACCAAAACCAGCCAGCCACCUCGGGGAGUCACCCAAGAGCCUAGAUGGCUACAGACGGGUUGGUUACUGGUUCUGCUCUAAGGACUGGCCUGCUGGACUCGCUGCGCUUCUCUGCCAGCUGUUCCCUCUUCCGCCUUCUGUUUGCUUUGAUCUGAGGUUGACAGACCACCUGGCCUGCUAAACUGGGAAGGUGGGGGAGUCGAGCCCUCAGGAAGCCAGUCUGUGGGGGGUGAUGACAUCAUCUCAGCCACGCAAGCCCUGCAGAGAGAAGAGGGAGUCUCCCAGCUGUGGAGACGAGAAAACAAUGAUCUCCACGCGCCCCGCAGCCAGAGUGGAGUUCAAGUCCCUCAGCUUAAAAUCAAAUCUCCCCUUUGUUCCUAACUCUCCCCCACCACCCACAAAUGUCCUGCAACUGUCAUGGAGCGGCUACUACUAAUAAUAAUCACUGGCCUUGUGUUGGGCUUUGCAAACUGUUCUCACAUUCACUGCACCAGUGAAUCAAGCAAUCCUCUGUGAGGCCAGGGAGACAGGCAUUAUCGCUCCCAUUUUACAGAGGAAGUGACUGAGGCUGCAAAAGAUGAACAGAUGGGUACAAGCGUGGUCAAGUUGAGUCUCAAGCCAAGGGUUCUAUGUCUUAGCCUAAAGUGGUGGUUCUCGAGCUUUAGCACACUGGAAUCCCCUGGAGGGCUUGGUUAAAAGAAUUUGCUUUUCUAACAAAUGUCCAAGUGAUGCUGAUGCUGUGGGGUGGGGGUCCACGCUCUCAGAAUCUGUGGCCUAAAACUUUUGCCACUACAUCGUACCUCCUCAUUGUGUUAAUAAAGAAGCGUUUCCAGCAGCUAUGGAUGGACAGAUUUGGGUCUUUUCCAAAGAAUCUGUUAAUAGCAGCAUAUAUCUGAAACAUAAGGCAGGAGCAGCAGCCUCCAGCUGCUGGGUAUUUCCCACAGAAGGGAAGGAGCCUGGACGAGAGAGGCUGGGGUAACCCAGGGUUUUGGCUUGAGCGCAUGGGGUUAAUUCUGAAUCCCUUCCGGGCAGCCCACGUGACUGGGAAGGAGGAAGGUGGAAUGAUUGCUUAUAUACAGAACCAUCAAGGUCUUGACUGUGUUAAAACCCAAUCAUUACUUCCAGGUAGUGAUGCAUUUUAGGCAAUGUCUUCUGCUUAUGCUCAGCAAUGCAUGAGUCUCAGAGCGGUGGCCAGAGAAAUGGCGAAUCGUCGUAUAUUGAGCGAGUGAUAAUGGAAUCCAGGAGGUGGAAAUUACAAGUUGAAAAGUAAAAUCAAUGCCCUGACUGUGAAAUGACUGAAUGCCUGGUGAGGAACUGUGUCGAGGUGCACCCCCACUCCCCUUACUCCACACCGACCUUUAAGACGCUCACCAGUUCAGAAGUUCCUUGAGGGCAGGAAGCAUAUUUUAAUCACGGGUAAUCAUAGCAUAUCAGGGCAGAAAUGGGCCUUAGAGAGCUUCCAGCCCUGGAGUGGCAAAUCGGUUUCAUUUUGGUGCCAGCUACAAUCAUUUAGUGGUGGCUGCCUGAAGCGCUGGGCCGAGAAGUGUUCUGCGGGUCUCUGGGCUCCUUGAGGAGUCGGCCAUGAUCAAUUAGCGAUGUUUACCAUGGCCAGGGGAGUGGCAAGGAGGCAGCACUUUGCUCAGAUUACCCAACCCCUAUCUAGUCCAACCUGUCCCGCUGACAGAUGAGGAAAGAACUGCUAAGCAGCUCUGUGUCCCCACCCACACCCCAGCACAUUCUUGUCCCCUAGCAGCCAUCCACUUCCAGGGGUCUGUGCAUAGUAUUCAAGGGUCUAUGAACUUGAGUGGGAGAGACAUUUACAUCUUUGUUUCACUAAACUCUGAGAUCAAGCACUUCCUUCCAUGAUGAAUGUAGGCAACAAACUGUGGUAGCAACAGCAGCACCUGUGACUGUCACCAAUAGAAACCACAGCUAUCUUCCUAGCACAUCAGAGCUGCUGCUGCUGUCUCUAAAGAUCACUUACACCCCUCGCUAGUCACUGUGGUCUUUGUAUGAAAGGAUCGUAGUUAUUAGACCCAACACUAAAUCUUGUUACUUAAUGCAUUAAUAAAGAAACACACAUAUUACUGAUCCCGAAGUUGCUUCUUAAUAUUUGCAUAACUGCAUUUCAAUAGAGAAUUGGUUUCCUCUGUCAUACUAUUUUAUGCAAUUAAAUUCAUCAUCCUGAGAAG
rnacentral:lncRNA from 10 species